rnacentral:lncRNA from 1 species
UAGUCAGCUUUUGACGCGCCUUUCGGGUGAAUCAUGGGGAGGAGGGUGGUUUGGAGCUGACGUGUCGUGGCACCCAGACUUUUAUCACCGUCACCGUCAAAAAAAAAGGGUCUCUCCUUUCUUUUGCAUUCUUUUAAAUAUCUGCUUGUCCUUAUUAUUUGCAUUAUGUUUUGAGUAUUCCUGCGGAUGCUCGGUUGCUUUUUUAUUUCCAAAUAGGAGG